rnacentral:rRNA from 1 species
AGAGUUUGAUCCUGGCUCAGAACGAACGCUGGCGGCGUGCCUAACACAUGCAAGUCGAACGUGAAAGUCCUUCGGGGCGAGUAAAGUGGCGCACGGGUGAGUAGCGCGUGGAUAAUCUGCCCGAUGAUCUGGGAUAACAUUUCGAAAGGGGUGCUAAUACCGGAUAAGCCCACGGAGUCUUCGGAUUCUGCGGGAAAAGGAGGGGACCUUCGGGCCUUCUGUCAUCGGAUGAGUCCGCGUACCAUUAGCUAGUUGGUGGGGUAAAGGCCUACCAAGGCUACGAUGGUUAGCUGGUCUGAGAGGAUGAUCAGCCACACUGGAACUGAGACACGGUCCAGACUCCUACGGGAGGCAGCAGUGGGGAAUUUUGCGCAAUGGGGGAAACCCUGACGCAGCAACGCCGCGUGAGUGAUGAAGGCCUUCGGGUCGUAAAGCUCUGUCAGAAGGGAAGAAAUGU